rnacentral:misc_RNA from 1 species
UCCGGUUUGGCACCGGCAGUCUUCCCAGAGCACCCCGACACUUCUGCCAGGUUCCUAUACUUUCUAGCCCAGGUAAGGUUCUUCGCGUUGCGUCGAAUUAAACCACAUGCUCCACCGCUUGUGCGGGCCCCCGUCAAUUCCUUUGAGUUUCAGCCUUGCGGCCGUACUCCCCAGGCGGGACACUUACUGCGUUAGCGACGGCACCGAGGGGGUCGCUCCCCCCGACGCCUAGUGUCCAUCGUUUACGGCGUGGACUAC